UACCCCAGCUGGCUUCUCCUUCCCUCUGAGAUCCCACAGUGGAUCCCCUGGGGACUGGGAGUGGGUACAGCAUCAACAUGUGAAGGGAGAACAGUUCUCUCUGGGCAGCCCUGGCCAGACCGCAGCAUGAGAAUUGAUCUGACGUCAGCCUCCUUCUGUAAACUUCUCACGCUAGCCUCAGAGACGAGGUGUCACUAUGCUGCUCAGGCUGGUCUCGAAC